ACAUGUAGACAGCAAAUUAAACACUGAAGA
rnacentral:piRNA from 1 species